GACGAACGCUGGCGGCGUGCCUAAUACAUGCAAGUAGAACGCUGAAGAGAGGAGCUUGCUCUUCUUGGAUGAGUUGCGAACGGGUGAGUAACGCGUAGGUAACCUGCCUUGUAGCGGGGGAUAACUAUUGGAAACGAUAGCUAAUACCGCAUAACAAUGGAUGACACAUGUCAUUUAUUUGAAAGGGGCAAUUGCUCCACUACAAGAUGGACCUGCGUUGUAUUAGCUAGUAGGUGAGGUAAUGGCUCACCUAGGCGACGAUACAUAGCCGACCUGAGAGGGUGAUCGGCCACACUGGGACUGAGACACGGCCCAGACUCCUACGGGAGGCAGCAGUAGGGAAUCUUCGGCAAUGGGGGCAACCCUGACCGAGCAACGCCGCGUGAGUGAAGAAGGUUUUCGAAUCGUAAAGCUCUGUUGUAAGUCAAGAACGGGUGUGAGAGUGGAAAGUUCACACUGUGACGGUAGCUUACCAGAAAGGGACGGCUAACUACGUG
rnacentral:rRNA from 1 species